rnacentral:tRNA from 1 species
GCCUGGGUGGCUCAGUCGGUUAAGCACUUGACUUCAGCUCAGGUCAUGAUCUCAUGGUUCAUGAGUUUGAGUCCCAUUUCAGGUG